GACGAACGCUGGCGGCGUGCUUAACACAUGCAAGUCGAACGGUAAGGCCCUUCGGGGUACACGAGUGGCGAACGGGUGAGUAACACGUGGGUGAUCUGCCCUGCACUUCGGGAUAAGCCUGGGAAACUGGGUCUAAUACCGGAUAGGACCACUGCCUGCAUGGGUGGUGGUGGAAAGCUUUUGCGGUGUGGGAUGGGCCCGCGGCCUAUCAGCUUGUUGGUGGGGUGAUGGCCUACCAAGGCGACGACGGGUAGCCGGCCUGAGAGGGUGACCGGCCACACUGGGACUGAGAGACGGCCCAGACGCCGACGGGAGGCAGCAGUGGGGAAUAUUGCACAAUGGGCGCAAGCCUGAUGCAGCGACGCCGCGUGAGGGAUGACGGCCUUCGGGUUGUAAACCUCUUCCAGCACCGACGAAGCGCAAGUGACGGUAGGUGCAGAAGAAGGACCGGCCAACUACGUGCCAGCAGCCGCGGUAA
rnacentral:rRNA from 1 species